rnacentral:rRNA from 1 species
CGCUGGCGGCGUGCUUAACACAUGCAAGUCGAACGGAAAGGCCCUUCGGGGUACUCGAGUGGCGAACGGGUGAGUAACACGUGGGUGAUCUGCCCUGCACUUUGGGAUAAGCCUGGGAAACUGGGUCUAAUACCGAAUACACCCUUCUGGCUGCAUGGUCUGGGAGGGGAAAGCUUUUGCGGUGUGGGAUGGGCCCGCGGCCUAUCAGCUUGUUGGUGAGGUUAUGGCUUACCAAGGCGACGACGGGUAGCCGGCCUGAGAGGGUGACCGGCCACACUGGGACUGAGAUACGGCCCAGACUCCUACGGGAGGCAGCAGUGGGGAAUAUUGCACAAUGGGCGCAAGCCUGAUGCAGCGACGCCGCGUGAGGGAUGACGGCCUUCGGGUUGUAAACCUCUUUCGCCAGGGACGAAGCGCAAGUGACGGUACCUGGAGAAGAAGGACCGGCCAACUACGUGC